CUUGUGGCCAUAUCACACUGAAACAUCAGUUCCUGUACGAUCACUGAAGUUAAGCAACAUUGACCUUGGUCAGUACAUAGAUGGAUGACUGCUUGGGAACACCAGGUAC